GUGGAACUAAUUAAAGGGACACUACACUCGGUGCUUGUGGUAUACUUUGUAUACGCUGUGUUGCUGCUUUGCAGACGGAUCAUACUGGUCGGAUCGCUCUCCUGGGGAAGAGAGGAAGAGACAGUCAGCUGACGAAGGAAUAUUGUGGAGUUUCAUUUGAGAGAGUGGACACAGAGCCAUCAAGAGUGCAGUUAAUAGCAGUUGCUGACAACAAAGCGUGAGUAACAGCUGUGGGUACUUAUCUGUGCAAUACUUGUACGAAGAGUGGUUUUGGUGUGUGCCUUUGUGUUUUUGAGGUCCCUGGCCCCACUGGAGAGGAAAGCGUGGGCGAGCCGCGGGUUGACCGGACACACGGACGAGGCACUUGGUAGGAAGCACCGUUCACCAGUAAAACAGUGGCCCUGUGGGGAAAAGGAAGCGCAGGUGAGCCAGAGGAGUGAUAACCAACACGCCGGGCCUGCGAAUAACACACAUCUCACUCCCAUUUACGGUCCAGUUAUCGCCCAACCAUCCUCUCGAGGUCGUCGUAGUCAGGUGGCAAGGGCGAUCUAAAUAUCACGUGAAGUUGUAUAAGAGUGCUGUGGGUGAGUUUCACUGAUUGAUGGUGUUUACGCUUUACUUGCUGUGUAUAUGCUGUGCUUGUAGCGUUCGAACUGCCUAGCCUCCGACGAGUCACGAGACGACGACAUCCGUUGUGGCCUGGGUCCUAAGGAGAGCGAGAAAAUUGAGCCCUGUGCCCGGGGUGUGUCAACGAGAGCUUCGUUUGUCCAUAGAGCAGACAGUGGUGAAACCCAAAGCUCGUGGUGAGCGGAGCCCCGACGAAAGUUCGCCCCAACUCGUGACCCCGGUCGUGGAAGAAGGAGGGGGAGUUUGGGAAGCGUUCGGCUCCGUGUCAUCGGACCCACUAGUCCCUACGACGCCCGGACAGCCGGAGUGGAUGGGCGAAGGAAUACGGUGCACCAACACUGUAGCGAAAAUCCACUGUUUGCAACAAUUACCUACCUGUACAAGUGAAGCUCUGUGUGUGUGAAGAUCCCCAGUGCUGUGAGUAACGUAACCUGUGAAGUAAACCUGUACUGUGCUUAUAGUAAUCACCUACCUGUACAAGUGAAGCUCGGUGCGCAUGCAGAUCUCCAGUACUGUGAGUAAUAUAACCUGUGAAGUGAAACUGUUCUGUACUUGUAGAAAUUACUUACCUGUGCCGGUGAAGCUCUGUGUGGGAACGAAGAUCCUCCAGUGCUGUGGGUAACGUAACCUGUGGAGAGAACUUGACCUGUGGCUAUAGCUAUCACUUACCGUUCCGACGAAGGUCCCGUGUUGAACGAACAGCGUCUAGUAACGAAGUACCUUACCCUUGUCUGACUAUUAUUUGAUUCUGCCUCCAGGAGAAGCGGAGCGCGCCACGGAUUAUUGGGCCGGAGCCCCCAAGGGAGCCCCUGUCCCCAGUCUUUCCCCCAAGUGGCCCUGGAGGCGAAGAAGAGACACCUUAGUUUUAGAUUACCCUUUCCCCUUCCCCCUUUCCUUUUAAAUAUUUAAUAAAGCUUGUUUUAAUUGUAGUAUA